rnacentral:rRNA from 1 species
AACGAACGCUGGCGGCGUGCCUAACACAUGCAAGUCGAACGAGAAAGGGGCUUCGGCCCUGAGUAAAGUGGCGCACGGGUGAGUAACACGUAGGUAACCUGCCUCUAAGAUCGGGAUAACCCGUCGAAAGACGAGCUAAUACCGGAUAAGACCACAGUCUCCUCGGAGAUCGGGGCCAAAGGUAGCCUCUACUUGUAAGCUAUCACUUAGAGAUGGGCCUGCGUACCAUUAGCUAGUUGGGGGGUAAUGGCCUACCAAGGCAAAGAUGGUUAGCUGGUCUGAGAGGAUGAUCAGCCACACUGGAACUGAGACACGGUCCAGACCCCUACGGGA